rnacentral:rRNA from 1 species
AUUGAACGCUGGCGGCAUGCUUUACACAUGCAAGUCGAACGGCAGCACAGGGAGCUUGCUCCUGGGUGGCGAGUGGCGAACGGGUGAGUAAUGUAUCGGAACGUGCCUGGUAGUGGGGGAUAACUACUCGAAAGAGUGGCUAAUACCGCAUGAGAUCUUUGGAUGAAAGCGGGGGACCUUCGGGCCUCGUGCUACUGGAGCGGCCGAUAUCAGAUUAGGUUGUUGGUGGGGUAAAGGCCUACCAAGCCUGCGAUCUGUAGCUGGUCUGAGAGGACGACCAGCCACACUGGGACUGAGACACGGCCCAGACUCCUACGGGAGGCAGCAGUGGGGAAUUUUGGACAAUGGGCGCAAGCCUGACCCAGCAAUGCCGCGUGCAGGACGAAGGCCUUCGGGUUGUAAACUGCUUUUGUACAGAACGAAAAGUCUCUGGCUAAUAUCUAGAGAUCAUGACGGUACUGUAAGAAUAAGCACCGGCUAACUACGUG